rnacentral:rRNA from 1 species
UACAGAGGGGGCAGGCGUUGUUCGGAAUUACUGGGCGUAAAGCGCACGUAGGCGGCUUUGCAAGUUAGAGGUGAAAGCCCGGGGCUCAACUCCGGAAUUGCCUUUAAAACUGCAUCGCUAGAAUUGUGGAGAGGUAAGUGGAAUUCCGAGUGUAGAGGUGAAAUUCGUAGAUAUUCGGAAGAACACCAGUGGCGAAGGCGACUUACUGGACACAUAUUGACGCUGAGGUGCGAAAGCGUGGGGAGCAAACAGG